CGGCGUGCCUAACACAUGGCAAGGUCGUACGAGAAAGUUGGCUUCGGCCGAUGAGUAAAGUGGCGCACGGGUGAGUAAUGCGUGGAUAAUCUGCCCUUAGUUGGGAAUAACGUACCGAAAGGUGCGCUAAUACCUGAUAAUACUGCAUAACUACUGUUGUGUAGUCAAAGAAGGCCUCUGUUUACAAGCUUUUGCUGAAGGAUGAGUCCGCGUACCAUUAGCUGGUUGGUGGGGUAAUGGCCUACCAAGGCUACGAUGGUUAGCUGGUCUGAGAGGAUGAUCAGCCACACUGGAACUGAGACACGGUCCAGACUCCUACGGGAGGCAGCAGUGAGGAAUAUUGCGCAAUGGGGCAACCCUGACGCAGCAACGCCGCGUGAGUGAGGAAGGUUUUCGGACCGUAAAGCUCUGUCGAGCGGGAAGAAAUGUAUCAUGGCUAAUAUCCAUGAUACUUGACGGUACCGCUAAAGGAAGCACCGGCUAACUCCGUG
rnacentral:rRNA from 1 species